AUUGAACGCUGGCGGCAGGCUUAACACAUGCAAGUCGAACGAGCGGCGGACGGGUGAGUAAUGUAUGGGGAUCUGCCCGAUAGAGGGGGAUAACUACUGGAAACGGUGGCUAAUUCCGCCUACUAUCGCAUGUACCCAUAUGGGAUUAGAUAUGAGGAGGGGUAAAGGCUCACCUAGGCGACGAUCUCUAGCUGGUCUGAGAGGAUGAACAGCCACAAUGGGAGUUGGACACGGCCAAGACUCAUACGUGAGGCAGAAGUGGGGAAUAUUGCACAAUGGGCGCAAGCCUGAUGCAGACAUGACGCGUGUAUGAAGAAGGCCUUAUGGUUGUAAAGUACUUUCAGCGGGGAGGCGUUACCAGCAGAAGAAGCACCGGCUAACUCCGUGCCAGCAGCCGCGGUAAUUC
rnacentral:rRNA from 1 species